CUACGGGGUGCACCAGUAGGGAAUAUUGCACAAUGGGCGAAAGCCUGAUGCAGCAACGCCGCGUGUGCGAUGAAGGCCUUCGGGUCGUAAAGCACUUUUCGGGAGGAUGAGAAAGGACAGUACUCCCGGAAUAAGUCUCGGCUAACUACGUGCCAGCAGCCGCGGUAACACGUAGGAGGCAAGCGUUAUCCGGAUUUACUGGGCGUAAAGCGCGUGCAGGUGGUUUGGUAAGUUGGAUGUGAAAUCUCCCGGCUCAACUGGGUGAGGUCGUUCAAAACUGCUGGACUAGAGGACGGUAGAGGAAAGUGGAAUUCCCGGUGUAGUGGUGAAAUGCGUAGAUAUCGGGAGGAACACCAGUGGCGAAAGCGACUUUCUGGCCCGUUCCUGACACUAAGACGCGAAAGCUAGGGUAGCAAACGGGAUUAGAUACCCGGGUAGUC
rnacentral:rRNA from 1 species